rnacentral:lncRNA from 1 species
AUGGGAGACGAAUAUAUACCACCUAAAGGUGAAUGUGAGGACAGCACAGAUGAUUCGAACGGAAGUGAAGAAUUCUUCGAUGACACAAUUGACCUGAUAUCCAAACAGAAGGCCAAAAAAAAGAGGACAACUAAGAAAGACCAUACAGUGUCAUCAAAGCGCAGGUGCAGAGCGCCAGGUUCAUGGAAAGCAAGAAGCAGCAUCCUUACCACAUCAAAAAGUCCUCCUGUUGCGGAAGAUGGUGAUACACCACUGUCUCCUCCAUCUGUGUCUGUUCCUGCAGUCUCUCAAAAGUCAGAUGGGAAAAGGGUAUAUGACAAAAUGCAGUACUGCCAGUUUUGUGAAACUUCAGUAAAUAAAUAUGCAAGACAUCUGGAGCGUCGUCACAGUGCUUUGGCUGAAGUUGCCAAGGCUUUAAGUUACAAUAAGGGUUCAAAGGAAAGAAAAUGUCAUUUGAAUUUUCUAAGAAGCAGUGGCAACUUUAUGCACAAUGCAUCUGUGCUCAAGAGUGGACAAGGGAGCCUCAUCGCAAAAAAGCGACCCAGAACACACAGUUCGGAGAAAGAAUAUGUGCACUGUUCCCACUGCCUUGGCCUUUUUGUAAGAAAACUGUUGUGGAAACAUCUUAGAAAAUGCGAUAAACGGCCAUCCGAAGAAGGGGCACAGAAGACAUUUUCUAAAACUCGAGUGCUGGCCACCUGCUCUAUUGAACAACCUUCACCUUCAGGCACCCCUGAAAUGUUCAAUGAUCUGACCAAGAGCAUGCGUCAAGAUGAUGUCACUAAUAUUGUCAAAACUGAUCCAGCAAUCUGGGGUUUUGGCUGCCAUUUAAUGAACAAGGUCAUGGGUAGUAGUACUGACACAGUUGGCAAUAAGAAGACUGUCACACAACAGCUGAGGAGUCUUGGUAGGUUGAUAAAGGCAGCAAGAGAGAUAACAACUAUGAAGACAACCAAAGACCUAGUGAGCCCUGAGAAUUUCAAGGAGACCAUUAAAGUUGCCCGUCACGUAGUCGGAUUUGACGAAACGACAUCAAAGUCAGAAAUUCCAAGUCUUAAUGGUAAAUUGGGUACUGGAUUGAACAACAUGGCAAAGUAUGGCAAAGAGCCGAAGCACUGCAGUACUUAG